AUUGAACGCUGGCGGCAUGCCUUACACAUGCAAGUCGAACGGUAACAGGUCUUCGGAUGCUGACGAGUGGCGAACGGGUGAGUAAUACAUCGGAACGUGCCCGAGAGUGGGGGAUAACGAGGCGAAAGCUUUGCUAAUACCGCAUACGAUCUCAGGAUGAAAGCAGGGGACAGCAAGGCCUUGCGCCCACGGAGCGGCCGAUGGCAGAUUAGGUAGUUGGUGGGAUAAAAGCUUACCAAGCCGACGAUCUGUAGCUGGUCUGAGAGGACGACCAGCCACACUGGGACUGAGACACGGCCCAGACUCCUACGGGAGGCAGCAGUGGGGAAUUUUGGACAAUGGGCGCAAGCCUGAUCCAGCCAUGCCGCGUGCAGGAUGAAGGCCUUCGGGUUGUAAACUGCUUUUGUACGGAACGAAAAGCCUCUGGUUAAUACCUGGGGUCCAUGACGGUACCGUAAGAAUAAGCACCGGCUAACUACGUGCCAGCCGCCGCUGUAACAC
rnacentral:rRNA from 1 species